GUCCAGCUUUACGUCCCGAGGUGAUAGCAUCCUGCUCCUCGGCUGGUACUCGCUUGAAUUAGGGCGUAGUCCCUUUGUUCCCCGCCGGUAAAAUGUAGAAUGGUCGCUGUGAAGAUCUGAAUGUGUGGUGAGUGCUCUGAGAGGAUUUUUUCCACAUAGUGUUGGAUUUGUUAUGGAAAAUCGAAGCCUCUUGAAGAGUCAAACACGCAGUUCUACAACCCGGCAUUGUUGCCCAUUGUGUAGAAGUCUUUGUUUGUUCCUGUCCCUAUGCAUUUUCCAGUUGAUUGCCCUGAAAAGUUCCAAUUUCCCAGAAGAGCCCCCUUUGUGAUUUGUGUAUGGAAUGUCUACCCCACACCCCACCCUCCAAUGAUUGCCCUGAAAUUGAAGAAAGAAGCCAUGUCUUCCCCCUGCCCCCUGUUUGUUGAUGAACUCCCACCCUGUAGUUUGUGACUGUGACGAAGAGUUUUUUUUGUUUUUAAGGUAUGAUACGUUUUUUAAUUUUACUAAAUUUCAAGUGGAUAAAUUUCUGGUAAAUAAUUGUAUAAAGAAAUUUGCUUUCAUAAUGGUAAAAAAAGGCAGUGACUUAUGACAUUUGACAGCUACGUCAAAUCUUGUGUUGAAAUAAAUAGGUCAAAUUUUAUUUGACAUAUACUGCCCAACAAAUUUAAUUUUAAUUGUUUUGUUUGUAAUCAUUGUUUUUGUAGUAAAAUUUUGAAUAAACCUGGUAAGAGUUUAAAGUUUUGAAUAAACGUUUUGUAAGUGUA